GUAAAAUGUGUUAUUUUAAGAUCGUAAAUAUUAAGACCUUUUAAAACAUGUUACCAAAUCCGCUCGCUAACAUAUUUCGUUAGCAAUGAUUGCUCGUUGUGUAAGGAUAUAUAAUUGAUUCUCUUUAUCUUACCUUCCGAAGUUCUUACCAACAAUAGUGGUCCACCCAUCAUGUGAAAUAUGUUUGUAUUUUUUUUGUAUAUAAGUAAUGGGGUUUAAGUCACUGAAGUCAACAUAAUAUUUAAGAUCUUUUCGUAGUUUCUAAAGGAAAUGAUAUAUCUACUUUUGAGAUUAUUCAAAGUUAAUGUAUAUUAAAGCCAUGGUCUUAUAAUAGCUAAAGUAUAUGCGAUUCACCGUUUAAAGCCUAGGAAAUGAUAAGUUUAUUCGUUUUGAAUGGGCGGUUCACUGCACCGGCUGCACCAGAUGAACGGAAUUGGAUGUACUAGAUAUUUUAUCGUUUUAAUGUGUUUUCGUAACUAUAGCCAUCAUAGUAUAAGUAGCUAUUUUUUUGUUUAUUUAUUUAUAGGUUAUUGUAAAACUUGACAUUUUAAUAUUACAUUCGUGACUUUCACGAGUUCUCGAAAACUUUUUUUGUAAUUUAUACAGUUUAUAACACUACUCAAUAGGUUAUCUGAUUAGUAAAAGCCAUUCAAUCGGUUUACCGAUGAAAAAUAAUUUCGAAUUUAAAUAACGCUUGCUAUAAACCCGUAUUUUAAGAAGAUUCCGGACGACCUGCUUUUUUUGCCCAAAUAAAUACUUUACUGGGUUAACUCUCUAGCAACGCUCUAUAGUGUGGUUCAAUUUCAAUUCGGUAAGAUGAAGAUUUUUGGCAUGGCAUAUUGGAUUUGGAUUCUAAAAAAUGUAUUUUCUAAAAUUAUUAAAAGAGUUUGAUAAAUUGAUAAAGUAAUAAGUUGAUUAUGAUAAAUUGUUUGAUUAUUUUUAGAUUCUGAGCUAAGCGAGAAAUGUACUUGUUUUACCGUAAUGUGUAUUUUUUCCGUUUAUAAACAACUUUUCCACCAGAAAUGUUGCUGCAAUCAACAAAUGCCAGAAGAUCUUUUUUGUUCAGGUCGGGGUGAAACAUU